CUGAUAUAUGUUGGGUACCAUAGAGUGAAUCUCAGAACAGGAAGCGGAGGCAUAAGCAGAGAGGAUUCUGGAAAGGUCCCUUUGUUUUCAUGUCCACAGAGAAAGCAAGAAAAAAAAUUGAAUUUAAUUUGCAAAUCCCUGUGGCCCAAAUCUGAAGAACUGCAGGGGGAGGCACGUUCCAUUCUAACCAUCUUGGAUGCUGGCCUUUGUUGAGCUGUGAUUCCUAAGGCUCUCCAUCAGCUUCUUCCUAGCUCCUGUGAGUCUGUAAUUGCAGGGUGAAGUUUAUCUGAAGCCAUCUGUAAAUGCAAGUCCUCAUCUCUUUCACUCUGGAUUUGAAGUUGAAGAAGUUUAUAGAAAGAAAAAAUUUUG
rnacentral:lncRNA from 1 species